AAUGCCUAGGAAUCUGCCUGGUAGUGGGGGAUAACGUUCGGAAACGGACGCUAAUACCCCAUACGUCCUACGGGAGAAAGCAGGGGACCUUCGGGCCUUGCGCUAUCAGAUGAGCCUAGGUCGGAUUAGCUAGUUGGUGAGGUAAUGGCUCACCAAGGCGACGAUCCGUAACUGGUCUGAGAGGAUGAUCAGUCACACUGGAACUGAGACACGGUCCAGACUCCUACGGGAGGCAGCAGUGGGGAAUAUUGGACAAUGGGCGAAAGCCUGAUCCAGCCAUGCCGCGUGUGUGAAGAAGGUCUUCGGAUUGUAAAGCACUUUAAGUUGGGAGGAAGGGUUGUAGAUUAAUACUCUGCAAUUUUGACGUUACCGACAGAAUAAGCACCGGCUAACUCUGUGCCAGCAGCCGCGGUAAUACAGAGGGUGCAAGCGUUAAUCGGAAUUACUGGGCGUAAAGCGCGCGUAGGUGGUUUGUUAAGUUGGAUGUGAAAUCCCCGGGCUCAACCUGGGAACUGCAUUCAAAACUGACUGACUAGAGUAUGGUAGAGGGUGGUGGAAUUUCCUGUGUAGCGGUGAAAUGCGUAGAUAUAGGAAGG
rnacentral:rRNA from 1 species